rnacentral:rRNA from 1 species
UACGUAGGGUGCGAGCGUUAUCCGGAAUUAUUGGGCGUAAAGCGCGCGCAGGUGGUUUCUUAAGUCUGAUGUGAAAGCCCACGGCUCAACCGUGGAGGGUCAUUGGAAACUGGGAGACUUGAGUGCAGAAGAGGAAAGUGGAAUUCCAUGUGUAGCGGUGAAAUGCGUAGAGAUAUGGAGGAACACCAGUGGCGAAGGCGACUUUCUGGUCUGUAACUGACGCUGAGGAGCGAAAGCAUGGGGAGCGAACAGG